ensembl:misc_RNA
UUGCAAAUUUGUAAACUUCUUAGAAUGGAACUAACUUAAGCCUCCAUUCUGCAGCUGGGGCUCACUGCCCCCAGUGGGCAGUGAGUCAGCGGGUU